UAAGACUUAAUAUUGACUUUAGUGAUACACUAUCAAAAACCAUCCAGGUGAAUCAUGGCCUAUUACUUCUCAUAAAAAAGAAAACUUGAAAAAUCUUAACAGAAGUUGGCAAAGCGAAGAACUGAAUUGGAUCUUACACACUUGGAGACUUUCAGUAUGACGGCAAAUAAAAAGAACUCCUGAGAUGCAUAAAGAAUGCAGUGUUUGACCUGGUAUUGUCCAGGUCACUGUUCUGUCCCAGGCUGAUACUUUAUCCAAAGGAUGAUUUCCUUUGGUGUGCAGAAGAUUCUCAGUUUCAGGAGGUUCAGUGAACC